rnacentral:rRNA from 2 species
UACGUAGGUGGCGAGCGUUGUCCGGAUUUAUUGGGUUUAAAGGGUGCGUAGGCGGCCCUAUAAGUCAGUGCUGAAAUAUCCCGGCUUAACCGGGAGGGUGGCAUUGAUACUGUAGGGCUUGAGUAAAGUUGAGGUUGGCGGAAUUGACGGUGUAGCGGUGAAAUGCUUAGAUAUCGUCAAGAACACCUAUUGCGAAGGCAGCUAACUAAGCUUUAACUGACGCUGAGGCACGAAAGUGUGGGGAUCAAACAGG